GUUAAAAAGCUCGUAGUUGAAAUUGUGUCCUGCGGCGUCGGUCUACCGAAUGCGGUACGACAGGCGCGUCUGCGGGGCUUCUCGCCGGUGCGUCCACCGCCUGUGUGAUGCGUCAACGUAAGCGUCGGUAUGCAGCAUUUGUAUGAUUAUAUUUUAUAUGUAUGUAUAAUGUAUUUAUAUGUUAUAUGUAUGUAYAUAUGUAAUUUGUAUUUAUGUAUUAAAUGUGUAUCGAUCAACGCCCGUUGAUUAGCUCACCGUGGCGGGCCGUCGCGGCUGUUUACUUUGAACAAAUUAGAGUGCUCAAAGCGGGCUAAGUUUCGCCUGAAUAUUGUACGCAUGGAAUAAUAGAAUAGGACCUCGGUUCUGUUUUGUUGGCUUUCUGAUACCAGAGGUAAUGAUUAAUAGGGACAACUGGGGGCAUUCGUAUUGCGACGUUAGAGGUGAAAUUCUUGGAUCGUCGCAAGACGAACUAAAGCGAAAGCAUUUGCCAAAGGUGUUUUCAUUAAUCAAGAACGAAAGUUAGAGGUUCGAAGGCGAUUAGAUACCGCUGUAGUUCUAACCAUAAAUGAUGCCAGCCAGCGAUCCGCCGAAGAUUCAUAAUUUUAUCCCGGUGGGCAGCUCCCGGGAAACCAAAGCUUUC
rnacentral:rRNA from 1 species